rnacentral:rRNA from 1 species
UAGGGAAUAUUGGACAAUGGGUGAGAGCCUGAUCCAGCCAUGCCGCGUGCAGGAAGAAAGCCUUCUGGGUUGUAAACUGCUUUUGCCAGGGGAUAAAAACACUAUGCGUAGUGGAUUGAAGGUACCUGGUGAAUAAGCCACGGCUAACUACGUGCCAGCAGCCGCGGUAAUACGUAGGUGGCAAGCGUUGUCCGGAUUUAUUGGGUUUAAAGGGUGCGUAGGCGGUCCAGUAAGUCAGUGGUGAAAUACGGCAGCUCAACUGUCGAGGUGCCAUUGAUACUGUUGGACUUGAGUACUGAUGAGGUAGGCGGAAUGGACGGUGUAGCGGUGAAAUGCUUAGAGAUCGUCCAGAACACCGAUAGCGAAGGCAGCUUACUAAGGAGUAACUGACGCUGAGGCACGAAAGUGUGGGGAUCAAACAGGAUUAGAUACCCUGGUAGUCCACACUGUAAACGAUGAUUACUCGAUGUGUGCGAUACACGGCACGCGUCUUAGCAAAAGCGAUAAGUAAUCCACCUGGGGAGUACGCCGGCAACGGUG